rnacentral:tRNA from 1 species
AGUCAGGAUGGCCGAGUGGUCUAAGGCCCCAGACUCAAGUUCUGGUCUUCGAGAGAGGGCGUGGGUUCAAAUCCCACUUCUAACAA